CGCGUGCGUGGGCCCGGCCCCCGCGCGCAGCAAGUUCUCGAUCAGGAAACUCUUGCCCAAGCUGCCAAAGCCCGGCGCGGGGAGGCCGAGGAGUGCCGAGGAUGCCACCACAUCCCAGAUAAGAAGUGAAGUCUUGAGAAAGCACUUGGGAGCCUCUCCUUUCUCUCUUGGAUUCCUGUGCUUUCUGGUAGAAGGAGAUGAGAGAAAAGCUGCAUUAUCUCAAGAUCCCAACUGAUGAUAGCUGCAUGAGUCAACACAGCCCAGAGCAACAGAUCCACCCAAUGGACCGAACUCAUGAAAAAUAGCAAAUGAUUAUUGUUUUAAACCAGUGAGUUGGAGAUAAGUCUAGGUCUCACCCAUCAUCCAAGAAACAUCUCUUUGCAACAGAUGGAGACCAUUAAAGAAACUCACCACUGACACCGGAAGCAAAAUGCAGAGAACAAGUUACCAUGCGGUGCCCAGCCCCAACUGAGCAAUCUGUAACAAAAUUCCUGCACCUCAGACUGGGAGAAUCAUGGCAGAAGAAGGGUAUGGAAAGAUGGUAAGAGCCAGAGAGAAGUUACAGUGACAUUUCUAGGAAUGCCAUGGAAGCUAUGCCCAAUAGCUAUGCCCAUAGCUAUGAGAGCUAUGCAGUCUCACCAACAUGGAUGCCUAAACAAGACCUGAACAAGGAUGACACCAAUAGACAGGCUCGGACAGAAGAGAUCCAGUUCUGUUUUUAUUUAAAUUAUUAUGUCUUUGUUUUCCCAUGGUUUUAAUUGAAAGUUAAAUGCAAUUACAUUGUUUCUCGCAUCUUCCUUUUCUCCUCUCCAGCCGAUCCCCUGUACACACUCUUGUUCUUUCUCUCAAAUUCAUGACCUCCUUUUAUUUAGCUGCCGCUGCUGGUGGUGGUGGUGCUGUGUGCAUGUUUGACCUUGCUGACGGUGGUGCUGAGUCCAGAUGGUGUAAGGUGAGGGUCUGAGGUGAGGGCCAGUACGGAUUGGAAUGUGGGCUACAUUUUUGGAUGUGUGAUGACGGUACCAAUCCAAGACACGCAGGACUUGGUUUUCUUACAGUGAUUCAGACAGGAAAAUGUUUAUAGCACAAGAGAGUUUUGCUCAGGGAGUAGGGGGAGGGGUCAUUGCUGACCCUGACUCUCUGGUCUGAUCUCAAACCUAAUUCCCUGAAAUCCUCUAUCCAUCUAGUUUAAAGUCUCCCACCUACCAGACACGCUAGUUCCCACAGUUUCCUGUUGUCUUUGCCCAGACUGAUUCUGCCCCCUUCCUGUGGUUUUAUUAACUAUCUCUGCAUCCCCUAAGAAGGUCUCAUUCCACUGGAAUUUGUCUCCAUAUAUCUCAAAAACUGCCUAGCUCAGUCUGCUGCUCACCUGCUUCUGUAUGACCUGCUCUGUCAAUAGACUGCGCCCUCCUGAGCGUCAAAGGUGACGUGGGGCCCAUAUUCUCUCUGGCGAUCAUAACUGCCCAACGGUCAGUAGAAAUGUAGUUAGUUGAAUUCCCCUCUAUUCGCCAGAGGCCUGGGACACAAAACCUAAAUGGAAGUAAAGAUCACAUAUGCACACAGCCCAGAUACUGGUGGCUCGGCAGCAUCUACUUCAUUCUCACUCAUCCCAAACUUGCCAGGCCAGUGCCUCGUGAAUAAACAUGAGGCACGGUGAAGAGUUAUUUUUGUUUGGUUUUAAUUAUCUUGUGUGCGUGCAUGCUCAUGAAAACCACUUUUUUGUUUUUAUGAUUGAAAAUAGUUAAGAGAGCCGGAGACACAGCACAGUGGUUAAGAGCAUGGCCUGCUUCUGCAGAAGACACAAACUCAGUUUCCAGCACCCACACCACACAGAACCCAAUUGCCUGUGAUGCUUGCUCCAUGAGUACAGCGCCCUCUUCUGGCCUCCUUGAGCACCUGCACACACUCACACACAUAAAUAAAAAUAAUUAAAUCAACUUUAAAAAUCUUUAAGGAGAUUUGAAUUAGUUAAGUAUUUCUGCCUUUAUUCCAACAGGUUCCAAACCCUGUUAUUUUGCUGUGAUGUAGCUGAGUAGGGUGGACGUGAGUAUAAGUUCGUGGGGAGGUGAGAUGCAUGGAUUUCACAAUUUUAAAUCUUUUUUUUCCCCCUGCAUGAGCAUAUUGUAUGGUUUUGGCUUUGCUAGUGAGUUCCCAAUCCUCACUUAAAAAGACAAAUGGGAUGGACAUUGGAUAUAGAAGAAAACAAGUAACAGGACAGGAGCCUACAGCACAGGGCCUCUGAAAGACUCUACCUAGCAGUAUAUCAAAGCAGAUAUUAAGACUCAUAACCAAACCUUCAACGGAGUGCAGGGAAUCAUAGGAAAGAAGGGGGAGUUAGUAAGACCUGGAGAGUACAGUAGCGCCACAAGGACCAAAUAUAUCAGGGCACAGGGGUCUUUCAUGAGACUGUUUCUCCAACCAAGGACCAUGCAUGGAUAUAAAUUAGAACCCCUGCUCGAAUAUAGCCCAUGGUAGCUCAGUGUCCAAAUGUGUUCUCUAAUAAGGGGAACAGGGACUAUUCCCGACAUGAACUCAACGGCAAGCUCUCCCACCCCACCCCCAUCCCCACCAAGGGAGAAACAGCCUUGCUAGGCCACAGAAGAAGACAUUGCAGCCAGGCCUGA